rnacentral:rRNA from 1 species
GGGUCAGUAGGUUGGUCGUGCCACCGGUACGUACUGGUCCCACUGAUUCCUCCUUCCUGAAGAACCGUAACGCCAUUAAUUUGGUGUUGCGGGGAAACAGGACUGUUACUUUGAAAAAAUUAGAGUGUUUAAAGCAAGCUAACGCUUGAAUACAUUAGCAUGGAAUAAUGAAAUAGGACGAUCGAUCCUAUUUUGUUGGUUUCUAGGAUUGACGUA